rnacentral:rRNA from 1 species
AUUGAACGCUAGCGGGAUGCUUUACACAUGCAAGUAGAACGAGUGGCGGACGGGUGUGUAAUAUAUCGGAACGUGCCCAGUAGCGGGGGAUAACUAUUCGAAAGAGUGGCUAAUACCGAAUACUAUUGGCGCGGCCGAUAUCGGCUUAGCGAGUUGGUGGGGUAAAGGUUCACCAAGGCCACGAUCCUUAGCUGGUUUGAGAGGACGACCGGCCGCACUGUGAGUGGGACAGUGCCCAGACUCCUACGGGAGGCAGCAGUGGGGAAUUUUGGGCAAUGGGGGAAACCCUGGACCAGCCAUCCCGCGUGUAUGAGAAGGCCUGCGGGUUGUAAAGUACUUUAGGCAGAGAAGCGGUAUCUGCAGAAUAAGCACCGGCUAACUACGUGCCAGCAGCCGCGGUAAUAC